AUACGGAGGGGGUUAGCGUUGUUCGGAAUUACUGGGCGUAAAGCGUACGUAGGCGGAUCGGAAAGUAAGGGGUGAAAUCCCAGGGCUCAACCCUGGAACUGCCUCUUAAACUCCCGGUCUUGAGUUCGAGAGAGGUGAGUGGAAUUCCUAGUGUAGAGGUGAAAUUCGUAGAUAUUAGGAGGAACAUAGAAGGCGAAGGCAGCUUUCUGGCUUAUUACUGACCCUGAGGGACGAAAGUUAGGGGAGCGAACAGGAUUAGAUACCCUAGUAGUCC
rnacentral:rRNA from 1 species